GAUGAACGCUGGCGGCGUGCCUAAUACAUGCAAGUCGAGCGAACGGACGAGAAGCUUGCUUCUCUGAUGUUAGCGGCGGACGGGUGAGUAACACGUGGAUAACCUACCUAUAAGACUGGGAUAACUUCGGGAAACCGGAGCUAAUACGGGAUAAUAUUUUGAACCGCAUGGUUCAAAAGUAAGAGACGGUCUUGCUGUCACUAAUAGAUGGAUACGCGCUGCAUUAGCUAGUUGGUAAGGUAACGGCUUACCAAGGCAACUAUGCAUAGCCGACCUGAGAGGGGGAUCGGCCACACUGGAACUGAGACACGGACCAGACUCCUACGGGAGGCAGCAGUAGGGAAUCGUACGCAAUGGGCGAAAGCCUGGCGGAGCAACGCCGCGUGAGUUAUGACGGUCUUCGGAUCGUAAAACUCUGUUAUUAGGGAAGAACAUAUGUGUAAGUAACUGUGCACAUCUUGACGGUACCUAGUCAGAAAGCCACGGCUAACUACGUG
rnacentral:rRNA from 1 species